UACGGAGGGUGCAAGCGUUAUCCGGAUUUACUGGGUUUAAAGGGUGCGUAGGCGGGCUUUUAAGUCAGCGGUGAAAUCUCCGGGCUCAACCCGGAAAUUGCCGUUGAUACUAUUAGUCUUGAAUUAAGUUGAGGUGGGCGGAAUAUGUCAUGUAGCGGUGAAAUGCUUAGAUAUGACAUAGAACACCGAUUGCGAAGGCAGCUCGCUAAACUUAUAUUGACGCUGAGGCACGAAAGCGUGGGGAGCAAACAGG
rnacentral:rRNA from 1 species